rnacentral:rRNA from 1 species
CAUAGGUUAAUGAGGCGAACCGGGGGAACUGAAACAUCUAAGUACCCCGAGGAAAAGAAAUCAACCGAGAUUCCCCCAGUAGCGGCGAGCGAACGGGGAGGAGCCCAGAGCCUGAAUCAGUGUGUGUGUUAGUGGAAGCGUCUGGAAAGGCGCGCGAUACAGGGUGACAGCCCCGUACACAAAAAUGCACAUAUUGUGAGCUCGAUGAGUAGGGCGGGACACGUGGUAUCCUGUCUGAAUAUGGGGGGACCAUCCUCCAAGGCUAAAUACUCCUGACUGACCGAUAGUGAACCAGUACCGUGAGGGAAAGGCGAAAAGAACCCCGGCGAGGGGAGUGAAAAAGAACCUGAAACCGUGUACGUACAAGCAGUGGGAGCCUCUUAAUGGGGUGACUGCGUACCUUUUGUAUAAUGGGUCAGCGACUUAUAUUCUGUAGCAAGGUUAACCGAAUAGGGGAGCCGAAGGGAAACCGAGUCUUAACUGGGCGUUAAGUUGCAGGGUAUAGACCCGAAACCCGGUGAUCUAGCCAUGGGCAGGUUGAAGGUUGGGUAACACUAACUGGAGGACCGAACCGACUAAUGUUGAAAAAUUAGCGGAUGACUUGUGGCUGGGGGUGAAAGGCCAAUCAAACCGGGAGAUAGCUGGUUCUCCCCGAAAGCUAUUUAGGUAGCGCCUCGUGAAUUCAUCUCCGGGGGUAGAGCACUGUUUCGGCAAGGGGGUCAUCCCGACUUACCAACCCGAUGCAAACUGCGAAUACCGGAGAAUGUUAUCACGGGAGACACACGGCGGGUGCUAACGUCCGUCGUGAAGAGGGAAACAACCCAGACCGCCAGCUAAGGUCCCAAAGUCAUGGUUAAGUGGGAAACGAUGUGGGAAGGCCCAGACAGCCAGGAUGUUGGCUUAGAAGCAGCCAUCAUUUAAAGAAAGCGUAAUAGCUCACUGGUCGAGUCGGCCUGCGCGGAAGAUGUAACGGGGCUAAACCAUGCACCGAAGCUGCGGCAGCGACACUAUGUGUUGUUGGGUAGGGGAGCGUUCUGUAAGCCUGUGAAGGUGUACUGUGAGGUAUGCUGGAGGUAUCAGAAGUGCGAAUGCUGACAUAAGUAACGAUAAAGCGGGUGAAAAGCCCGCUCGCCGGAAGACCAAGGGUUCCUGUCCAACGUUAAUCGGGGCAGGGUGAGUCGACCCCUAAGGCGAGGCCGAAAGGCGUAGUCGAUGGGAAACAGGUUAAUAUUCCUGUACUUGGUGUUACUGCGAAGGGGGGACGGAGAAGGCUAUGUUGGCCGGGCGACGGUUGUCCCGGUUUAAGCGUGUAGGCUGGUUUUCCAGGCAAAUCCGGAAAAUCAAGGCUGAGGCGUGAUGACGAGGCACUACGGUGCUGAAGCGACAAAUGCCCUGCUUCCAGGAAAAGCCUCUAAGCAUCAGGUAACAUCAAAUCGUACCCCAAACCGACACAGGUGGUCAGGUAGAGAAUACCAAGGCGCUUGAGAGAACUCGGGUGAAGGAACUAGGCAAAAUGGUGCCGUAACUUCGGGAGAAGGCACGCUGAUAUGUAGGUGAAGCGACUUGCUCGUGGAGCUGAAAUCAGUCGAAGAUACCAGCUGGCUGCAACUGUUUAUUAAAAACACAGCACUGUGCAAACACGAAAGUGGACGUAUACGGUGUGACGCCUGCCCGGUGCCGGAAGGUUAAUUGAUGGGGUUAGCGGUAACGCGAAGCUCUUGAUCGAAGCCCCGGUAAACGGCGGCCGUAACUAUAACGGUCCUAAGGUAGCGAAAUUCCUUGUCGGGUAAGUUCCGACCUGCACGAAUGGCGUAAUGAUGGCCAGGCUGUCUCCACCCGAGACUCAGUGAAAUUGAACUCGCUGUGAAGAUGCAGUGUACCCGCGGCAAGACGGAAAGACCCCGUGAACCUUUACUAUAGCUUGACACUGAACAUUGAGCCUUGAUGUGUAGGAUAGGUGGGAGGCUUUGAAGUGUGGACGCCAGUCUGCAUGGAGCCGACCUUGAAAUACCACCCUUUAAUGUUUGAUGUUCUAACGUGGGCCCCUUACCGGGGUUGCGGACAGUGUCUGGUGGGUAGUUUGACUGGGGCGGUCUCCUCCUAAAGAGUAACGGAGGAGCACGAAGGUUGGCUAAUCCUGGUCGGACAUCAGGAGGUUAGUGCAAUGGCAUAAGCCAGCUUGACUGCGAGCGUGACGGCGCGAGCAGGUGCGAAAGCAGGUCAUAGUGAUCCGGUGGUUCUGAAUGGAAGGGCCAUCGCUCAACGGAUAAAAGGUACUCCGGGGAUAACAGGCUGAUACCGCCCAAGAGUUCAUAUCGACGGCGGUGUUUGGCACCUCGAUGUCGGCUCAUCACAUCCUGGGGCUGAAGUAGGUCCCAAGGGUAUGGCUGUUCGCCAUUUAAAGUGGUACGCGAGCUGGGUUUAGAACGUCGUGAGACAGUUCGGUCCCUAUCUGCCGUGGGCGCUGGAGAACUGAGGGGGGCUGCUCCUAGUACGAGAGGACCGGAGUGGACGCAUCACUGGUGUUCGGGUUGUCAUGCCAAUGGCACUGCCCGGUAGCUAAAUGCGGAAGAGAUAAGUGCUGAAAGCAUCUAAGCACGAAACUUGCCCCGAGAUGAGUUCUCCCUGACUCCUUGAGAGUCCUGAAGGAACGUUGAAGACGACGACGUUGAUAGGCCGGGUGUGUAAGCGCAGCGAUGCGUUGAGCUAACCGGUACUAAUGAACCGUGAGGCUUAACCUU